rnacentral:rRNA from 1 species
UACGUAGGCAGCGAGCGUUGUUCGGAAUUACUGGGCGUAAAGAGUGUGUAGGCGGUGCUCUAAGUUCGGUGUGAAAUCUCCUGCUCAACUGGGAGGGUGCGCCGGAAACUGGAGUGCUUGAGCGUGGGAGAGGAAAGCGGAAUUCCUGGUGUAGCGGUGAAAUGCGUAGAUAUCAGGAGGAACACCUGUGGUGUAGACGGCUUUCUGGACCACAACUGACGCUGAUGCACGAAAGCUAGGGGAGCAAACAGG